GAUCCUGGCUCAGAUUGAACGCUGGCGGCAGGCUUAACACAUGCAAGUCGAACGGUAACAUAAAGAAGCUUGCUUCUUUGAUGACGAGUGGCGGACGGGUGAGUAAUGCUUGGGAAUCUGGCUUAUGGAGGGGGAUAACUACGGGAAACUGUAGCUAAUACCGCGUAGAAUCGAGAGAUGAAAGUGUGGGACCUUCGGGCCACAUGCCAUAGGAUGAGCCCAAAUGGGAUUAGGUAGUUGGUG
rnacentral:rRNA from 1 species